UUCCCACGCUGACUUAACUCCUUUGCCCACAGGUUCCCCUUAUCGUCAAAGCUCCUGAGAUGGACAAACCAGAGCUGCCUCCUCUUCCUCCUCCUCCCCCGCCUCUUCCUCCCGGAACUUUUCCUGCUCAGAUAACAAAGGCCCUUUGACCUUCCUGUUCCUCCAGCCAGGCUUCCACUCAAGCCAUAACCCUCCAGGAGAAUCCAUUCAACAGCUACAAAUAACCAGGCAGGACGUGGAGAUCAAAAAGCCCUAAACAAUGACUGUGGCUCCUGGGCGCCUGGCGGUGGCGGCAGAGAUGAACCAGCCACCAUCGCUUUCUUCAAAGGGCUCUGGGGCUGGUGCGGCUGCUGCCACAGACAAGCUCUGACCCGGAUGCCUGAUUUUGCCUCUGAUUUUGCCUCCUGAUUUUGCCUCUGAUCCUGGAAAAGCCCUUCCUGUCUGGUGCCUCAGUCCCCUCUCCUGUAAAAUGGGGUAAUAACAUCAACCCUGGAGGGCUGUUCUGAGGACGAAAUCAGAUAAAGCACUGUGCUGGAGCCACGAGAAGUAUCCCAAGAGGCAGACAGGACACUUGCUGGACCACAAAGGAGGCGCAGAGAGGGGACGGGCCAGGAGCAAAAGGGAAAAGACUGCGGGAAAGCCAGGCAGCUGCCCACGACGUGCCUCUGAGAAACGGAGUUUGCCAGCGUGGAGAAAUCCAGGAAGACUUCCCCGGUGGUCCAGUGGAGAAGAAUCCGCCUGCCCAGUGCAAGAGACACGGGUUCCGUCCCUGGUCCAGGGAGAUUCUGCCUGCGGCGGAACGACUAAGCACGUGCACCACAGCUGCUGAGCCCACGUGAUGUAACUGCUGAAGCCCGCGGGCCUGGAACCCGGGCUCCGCAACAAGAGAGGCCACCACGAGGAGAAGCGCAUGCUCCGCAACUAGGGAACAGCCCCCACGCUCUGCAACUAGGGAAAGGCCCGAGUGCCGCGGUGAAGACCCGGUGCAACCAAAUAAUAAUAAUAAUAAACAAGGGGAUUCUUAACCACUGGACCACCAGGGAAGUCUGAGUCCAGGAACGUCUGACCAGCCCUUUGCCUGGGAAAGCCUGACGCUGAUGGAUUUUGAUUACAAAGCUCCUGAUUACCAGAGAUGGCAAGUCCAGUACUGAAGCCUCUAAAGUUUUCCUCCUCAAUAUCAGCAUUUAUGUAAAUAACCUAUAACCCCCGGUCCAGAGAUCAGGCCCAGGUGUUCUUUGGAUUCUUUCAGGGAAAGGGAAGUUAAUCCUGGCAGCUGUGUGUUUGAGGGAUUUUCUGGGGAAGCUGGGGUAGUUUUAGAAAUUAAAGGUAUUUACUGGGGAGGUGAGGCUAGA